UAGGGAAUCUUCCACAAUGGACGAAAGUCUGAUGGAGCAACGCCGCGUGAGUGAUGAAGGUUUUCGGAUCGUAAAACUCUGUUGUAAGGGAAGAACACGUACGAGAGGAAAUGCUCGUACCUUGACGGUACCUUACGAGAAAGCCACGGCUAACUACGUG
rnacentral:rRNA from 1 species